AUUGUAUGCCCCGUACCACAACCGCCUAACACGAUCAACUUCAAGUGGUUUCCUACAAGUGGCUGAGUCGCAAUUAUUUAGUGUCAUCAAAUUCUGCGAAGAGGUUGCUUCGGGAGUUUGUUGAAAAACAUAAAAGUUGGUUGGAAGUAGUGUAUACUUUGUCUGGCUGGUUGAAGAAAGAUCCUUCAAAUUACCAUAUAAGGCUUGUUUCUGGCCCUAAACUUGCAGAAUCCAAACAAGAUUUUGAUUGAAAUUGCUCAAUUCAGGUUUAUAGUGUGCAAGCUCAAAAGAUCCAGCUGCACUUUGGAAUGCUGAAUUUGUACAGGCUGAAGAGCUUUUUAAGCAGCACUUCUCGACUGACAAUUGCUUGAGAGAUAACAGGCACUUGUUUUGAAAGGGAAGGGAAAUUUGUUGGAUUUGGCUGAUCCAAGAUUAGGCUCAAACUAUAGGAAGGAAGACAUUAUGCGCAUGAUUAAUGUGGCUCUCCUAUGCACUAAUGUUUCUGUAGCUGUUAGGCCUACUAUGUCCUUAGUGGUGAGCAUGCUUGAGGGCAGCGCUGUUAUUCUUGAGUUGGGUCCAAAUUAUUCUUGAGUUGGGUCCAAAUUUAAGUAUCGUUGAUGAUGAAAUGAAAGUGAAGGCAUUGUGGAUCAUUUUCAAGAUAAGAAAGAAUUGGGUAUGGGAAAUAGCCAGAUCCAAAGUGUAUUAACGGAUGACAAUUCACCGGUACUACUUCAUCUACAUCUGUCGUUGAUCUAUAUCCAAUCAAUAUGGAUUCUAAUUACUGGAAGAAAAGAGUUUAGAUAAAUGGGCAAUAUUACUUUUUAUUCUUAAUUAGAGUGUGUCCUUAAUCACACUAA